GAUGAACGCUGGCGGCGUGCCUAAUACAUGCAAGUCGAGCGAACAGAUGAGGAGCUUGCUCCUCUGACGUUAGCGGCGGACGGGUGAGUAACACGUAGAUAACCUACCUAUAAGACUGGGAUAACUUCGGGAAACCGGAGCUAAUACCGGAUAAUAUAUUGAACCGCAUGGCUCAAUAGUGAAAGACGGUUUUGCUGUCACUUAUAGAUGGAUCCGCGCCGCAUUAGCUAGUUGGUAAGGUAACGGCUUACCAAGGCAACGAUGCGUAGCCGACCUGAGAGGGUGAUCGGCCACACUGGAACUGAGACACGGUCCAGACUCCUACGGGAGGCAGCAGUAGGGAAUCUUCCGCAAUGGGCGAAAGCCUGACGGAGCAACGCCGCGUGAGUGAUGAAGGUCUUCGGAUCGUAAAACUCUGUUAUUAGGGAAGAACAAAUGUGUAAGUAACUAUGCACGUCUUGACGGUACCUAAUCAGAAAGCCACGGCUAACUACGUG
rnacentral:rRNA from 1 species